GUCUGCCCGGCCGCUCGCGCAAAAAGGUCGUCCCGCAUUGGCAGUUGCCCGCUCGCGCAAAAACGACCGUCCCGCAUCGGCAGUUCCCCGUCCUCCUCGCGGCGUCGUCGCCCUCCCCGUCUCGCGACCGUCCCGCAUCGGCAGUUCCCCGUCCUCCUCGCGGCGGCGUCGUCGUACUCCCCGUCUCGCAGCGACGUCGCCGCGACCGCGUCGCCCUUCGCCUCCCAGAUCGACGCCGCCGCUCCCGCGUCGCCCUCCGUCCGAAGCCGCCGUCCUGCUCCUCCUCGCGACGGCGUCCUCCUCGAGCCGGAAGUUCCCCGCCUCCCCGUCCUGGUCACCGUCCUGCUCGAACCGGCAGUCUCCGACCUCCUGAACAGCGAGAAGAUAAAAGCAAAGCGAGCCUGACUGCCUCCCUCGCCGUCACCGCUGUCGUGAGGAUACGAAAGGCAAGAUUGUGUUGGUGGUCUAGGUAGAAUGUACGGGAGAUGGCUAAUUUACAUCUACCCCUUCCAAACAAACUCAGGAGUCUAGACUUAUGCUCGUUGAGGUACCCAGUUUUCCCCCUUUUUCUACAUUCUGCUGCAAUCUGCAUGCUGGAUCAUUUUGCUCUUUGUUAUAUGUCAAAUAAUGCAUGCCUACAAUGCGGUAGUAACAAGCAAGCUACACACCUGAUGAUUCACUAUUUGCAGGUUAUUACUUAUCACUUCCUUGAUUUGUGCCUACAGCAAGAUGGUAAAAUAAGUUAUAGAAUGGAUCGAUGAAUUUUGCAACUAAUAACGACCAAGUAAUCACAUCCUUAUAUAAGAUCCAUUUCUGCAUGUAUGCUCUGUUUUUUCUCGUAUUUGUGAAACUACAUUGAGAUAUACCAGAACUUUACUCAAUUAUGUUUUCUCUUGAACUAUCUGCACAGUGCACCACUAUCUAUCAUUCUAUCUACUAUUGGCUAAUAAAAUAUGAUGGGAGAUUUAUUUAUUGAACUCUAGCUUUUGUUUGGGUCUUUGUAACCAGCAGGGUCACUUCUUGAUGGUAGAAAGCAGGAGCAUCCCAAGGAGUGAAGUGUUCAGCUCCCCAAAGGCCAAGGUUUUAGUUCAGAUAAACUAAAAUAAACAUUGCUGCAUAGAUAAUUUACUUACUUUGUGUACGAUGUUUGUUUCUCUGUUGAUUCCUCCUUUCAACUAGACCAUUUAGUUUGUUUUCUUCCAUGUAGGUUAUUUUGUGCCUCAAUUAUUGAAGAGAUUCCUUGAAUUUUGUGUCCGCAGUGCUGAUGAUCUUGCCACAUUAUCUUUUCAUCACUUUUCUUGGGCCAGUUUCAUUUAUCCUUGCUUCCUUGCUCUGUUGUUGUCGCAUCAGUGUGUUGCUACAGUUUGGAGCUACUCAGAGUGCAUUUGUAUUCCUUUUUGAAUAUGCUAAAAUCAGUAAUUAUUGAUUGUCCAAGUUAAAGAUGCUAUCAGAAUCAUUGGAGUGGGCUCUUGGAAAUUGAUGCUAUUUUUCCAUACGCAGGUGAUUUUUUUUUUCAUGGACCAAAAAGUUUUUAGUGUGUUGUUGGAAAGUACUUGAUUACUCUCGCAUGAGAAAUGAUUUGUCCGAUUAUGGUAGGAAAACAUAUGAGAUUACCUGACAACAGCAAGUAUUUUUUUUUAUGAAUGAUUUUCAUGUUAUAUAAUCCAAGCAUAAAGAAAUAGGGAAAACUUCACUAUUCUUCAAUUAUAUAUCAUCAUAUUGACAUGUAGAUUCCAACGGUCACCAAGUUAUUGACUUAUUGUAGGCAACUGAUCUAUGUUUAGGGGUAUAUACUCUGUGAUGUUCUUGAUUGGCUACUCAAGGUUCCAUGGCCAAUUCAGUGGAUAAUGUAUCAAUAUUUACACAGGAUUGUGCUGAUCUAGCACUAUCUACAGAUUUCUCUAAUUUGUAUAUUUUUUGUUCCACUAUUUCAUGUUUUUACAUUUUACGAUCUACUUGAUUAGUCCUUCAGAGGCUUCCAGGUUCAGAUCGUGGUCACCAUGACUGCAAGCUGCUAAGAGCAACAGCUGUGUGGAGCACUGCAGGUUCCGUGAGUUGUGCUAAUAAAUGGGUUAACAAACAUGUUGUGGUCGGCAUUGCGUUAAUCACCUGGUUGUUCUUUCUGCUAUUCCAAUAAGAUUUGAAGAGGAAGGCUGAGGUGCUAAAGAAGAAAAGAUUUCUACUUGGGGGCUAGGUAAAUCACAGCAUCAAGUUAGCAUAAAUUAUUAGGAGCUUAUGGAUCUUUUUUUCUUCUCCAUUUCUAUUGCUUUAAUAUAUUUACCCUCAGAUUCUGGCAAUUGAUUCUGGCUCAUGAUUCUUUCGGAUUCCAAUUGUUCUUUGGCACUUUUAGAGGAGGGAUAAUAGAGUUUAAGAGUCAGUACUAUUGGCUGAUUGAUAUACAGUGAUAAGCUUUGCUUCAUGCCUUCAUCCUACAUCAGCUGAUUGUAUAGGAAAUAAAUAUAUCUCCGACUGUAUGCAUAGUGGAGAGUAACUGCUGAUGUAGCUCAACUUUUAUGACAAAUUGACAAUCAUUGUAAGUUGAUCCUUGCUUCCAA